rnacentral:tRNA from 2 species
GCGCCCAUAGCUCAAUUGGAUAGAGCAUCUGCCUUCGAAGCAGAAGGUUUCAGGUUCGAGUCCUGAUGGGCGCACAA